rnacentral:rRNA from 1 species
AUGAACGCUAGCGACAGGCCUAACACAUGCAAGUCAGGGGCAGCACAAGGAGCAAUCUGAGGUGGCGACCGGCGCACGGGUGAGUAACGCGUAUGCAACCUGCCUGUAAGCGGGGAAUAACCCGUUGAAAGACGGACUAAUACCGCAUAAUACUAAAUUACUGCAUGGUAAUUUAUUUAAACAUUUAUGGCUUACAGAUGGGCAUGCGCAUGAUUAGCUAGUUGGAGAGGUAACGGCUCCCCAAGGCAACGAUCAUUAGGGGUUCUGAGAGGAAGGUCCCCCACACUGGUACUGAGACACGGACCAGACUCCUACGGGAGGCAGCAGUGAGGAAUAUUGGUCAAUGGACGAGAGUCUGAACCAGCCAAGUCGCGUGCAGGAAGAAUGUCCUAUGGAUUGUAAACUGCUUUUGCAGGGGAAUAAAGUGCAUCACGUGUGAUGUUUUGUAUGUACUCUGCGAAUAAGGAUCGGCUAACUCCGUGCCAGCAGCAGC